AGAGAGAGACACAGACAAAACGUUUUGUUUUCUGCUAUGUGAAACGUGUGUGUGUGUCUCUUUGG